rnacentral:rRNA from 1 species
UACAGAGGUCUCAAGCGUUGUUCGGAUUCAUUGGGCGUAAAGGAUGCGUAGGCGGUAGGGUAAGUCUGGUGUGAAAUCCUGGAGCUUAACUUCAGAAAUGCACUGGAUACUGCCCUGCUAGAGGACUGGAGAGGAGAUUGGAAUUCACGGUGUAGCAGUGAAAUGCGUAGAUAUCCGGAGGAACACCGGUGGCGAAGGCGGCUUCCUGGACCGAUCACUGACGCUGAGGCGCGAAAGCUAGGGGAGCAAACGGG